GACGAACCGUGCGAACGUUGUUCGGAAUCACUGGGCUUAAAGGGCGCGUAGGCGGGCUAUCAAGUCCGGGGUGUAAUCCUCCAGCUCAACUGGAGAACUGCCUCGGAUACUGAUGGUCUCGAGGAGGAUAGGGGCACACGGAACUGUGGGUGGAGCGGUGAAAUGCGUUGAUAUCCAUAGGAACUCCGGUGGCGAAAGCGGUGUGCUGGAUCCCUUCUGACGCUGAGGCGCGAAAGCCAGGGGAGCAAACGGG
rnacentral:rRNA from 1 species